GAAAGGCCGUGUGAAGCCACAGCAAGAAGGUGACUGUCUACAAGCCGGGAAGAGAACUCUCACCAGAAACCAGAUUUGCUGGCACCUUGAUCUUGGACUUCCAGCCUCCAGAACUACUGGCCCUGGGCUAACAUCCGUGCCCCUCUUCCUCCGCUGUAUAUGGGACGCCGCCACAGCAUGGCCUGACAAGCAGUGCGUCUGUGGGCAAACGGGAUCCGAAGCGGUGAACCCCGGGCCGGCGCAGCGGAGCACGCGCAUUUAACCGCUUGCGCCACCAGGCUGGCCCCUCAGCCCUGUGUUUUAACAAGGCUUCCAGAUGAUUCUGAGGCACACUCAAGUCGGAGAACCUCUGGGUUAAGAUGCGCCAGCAGGUGAAGAAGUUUUGGGAGCCUGCCUGAGAAGCAUGUGACAGGGAGAAACACUGAGGAAUGAUGUCACCUACUAAAGGAAGCUUUCACUCUUCCAGGCUCAGACAAGUGUCUACCCCAACUUGGAGAGCGUGUUUCCACAGAUCCCCCAAGUAACCUGGCUUGGAAACUAACACAGUGUUCAAAUCCUUUUGCCCAGCAUGAACCUGUCGUGUUUCAGCACAGGCCCCCUACUUUGGUCGGCAGGGAGGAGGAAUGGAGAAAGCACUCCGCUGAGCUGAGGGAUGUCUGUGGAAGGAAGCCCACCAUUGUACCACCAGGCUGGGCCUGGAGCAGCGUGGCCAGAGGGCACCCCGAGGGCCACAGGAGUGUUCACGAUUCCACACUGGAGCAGCCUCUGGUGAAAAACAGUCUUCUUUCCCAUUUUACAGAAAUUGUGCAGACGGUUAAGCUGAGUCAGCACGUUCACCAACCAUCCCGUUAUUUGGCCUGGAAGUGUCACUAGAAAUGUGAAGGUUGUUGAUGGCUGACGUUUCACCACUGCCCGGGCUGUGCUGCCCAGAC